GUACCUUCCUUGCAACAGCUGAAUUGCCUUCUUGGGAAUAUCCGAAUGCGCCACAAGUACUCGUGGCUUAGACAUGCUGACAGGGGAACUGUCACUGGUUGCAAAGCUAAACGGGCUCUAAUAGACAGCCGCAACGAUCUCAGUAUUUAGCUCCCGAAGAUUGGCAAACGCAGUCUACUGCGUAAGUCGAGAUGGUUCCUCAGUAACAGCGUGUUGUGUUCGUGUUUGUCGUUUACUUUCAGCCUAUGUGGACGAAAGUGUGUAACAGAUAAGGAGAUAAAUGAUAACGUAAUCUGCAACAAAAUCUGGAGUGCAAGGGUUCUAAAGUUAAAACUCACAGAGCGAAACCAGCAUGAUGCAAAAAUUGAUGUUCGAUCUAUCACGUUUUAUAUAUGGACAACUGCUGUUGAUUCCUGAACCAUGAACACGCGGCUUUGCCUUUUGAACUAACUCCAGUCUGCUCGGAAAACGGACUCCAAGCCCAUAAACAUGGCAACAGUGCAAAUCACUGUUCACAUGUCUCUUAACUGUUCAUAGCUUUGAAGGAUAAGGCAGAAUUUUUUCGCAGGGAUGCAACAUUUGAAUAAACACCAGGGAUCCCUGGUCUGCCACAUCCUCGCCCAAAAGAAACAAGUCCAACCAAGGUGCCGUUUACUGUCAGUGGCCCACCAGAAUCUCCCUAAAAUAGAAACACUCAUUAUUUGUUGACUAAGAACAUUAUUGAAAGUCAAGAGGGAAAAUAUGAGUUUCCUUGCAUUUGUAAACAAUGAUUCUAUUCACAAUUAUUAAUUUGUUCCACAUAGUUUAAAAAUGGAACACUCUAUGGAAAAAAAUGUUUUUAUUAUAGUACACCAGACUCAGUACAGAUGUAUGAAAAAGAAGCCAUCAAACAAUUUUCAUAAGAGUAAAUGUCAAUAACUGAAAUCUUAAACCUUUUUAUUGGUGUGUAUGUAAAUUGUAAAAGCUAUUUAAAGUAAUAAAAAUCUAUGAUGAAUGGUA